rnacentral:rRNA from 1 species
GGGGGGGGGGGGGGGGGGGGGGGGGGGGGGGGGGGCGGGCGGGGAGGCGCGGCGUUUGGGGGGUGCGCGGGUGGCGAACGGGGGGGGAGCACGGGAGUAAGCUGCCCUGGAGGUUGGGGUAACUUCGUGAAACGGGGGCGCAUACCGGAUAGGAGCUCCUGCGGCAUGGUGGGGGUUGGAAGAGUUCGGCGGUUGGGGAUGGACUCGCGGCUUAUCAGCUUGUUGGGGGGGUAGUGGCUUACCAAGGCUUUGACGGGUAGCCGGCCUGAGAGGGUGACCGGCCACAUUGGGACUGAGAUACGGCCCAGACUCCUACGGGAGGCAGCAGUGGGGAAUAGUGCACAAUGGGCGGAAGCCUGAUGCAGCAACGCCGCGUGCGGGAUGACGGCCUUCGGGUUGUAAACCGCUUUCGCCUGUGACGAAGCGUGAGUGACGGUAAUGGGUAAAGAAGCACCGGCUAACUACGUG